CCUACGGGAGGCAGCAGUGGGGAAUAUUGGACAAUGGGCGAAAGCCUGAUCCAGCCAUGCCGCGUGUGUGAAGAAGGCCUUCGGGUUGUAAAGCACUUUCAGUGGGGAAGAAAGCCUUGGGGCUAAUACCCUCGAGGAAGGACAUCACCCACAGAAGAAGCACCGGCUAACUCCGUGCCAGCAGCCGCGGUAAUACGGAGGGUGCGAGCGUUAAUCGGAAUUACUGGGCGUAAAGCGCGCGUAGGCGGUCUGAUAAGCCGGUUGUGAAAGCCCCGGGCUCAACCUGGGAACGGCAUCCGGAACUGGCAGGCUAGAGUGCAGGAGAGGAAGGUAGAAUUCCCGGUGUAGCGGUGAAAUGCGUAGAGAUCGGGAGGAAUACCAGUGGCGAAGGCGGCCUUCUGGACUGACACUGACGCUGAGGUGCGAAAGCGUGGGUAGCAAACAGGAUUAGAUACCCCUGUAGUC
rnacentral:rRNA from 1 species